UUUUGCUGCUUCACUUCAAGGCAAAGCAUGCCCUUUUACUGUGAUAAAAGGCAGUUCCGUGAUUCAUCGUAGCAUCUUUUCUGUCACUAGUCUUCCUUGGCUGAAGAAAGAAAUACUGUUGCUGCAGGAAGCAAAAUAAAACAUGUUGUGAAUCCCUGAGGAGACCUGCUAUGGGAGGUCACAAAAUAAAGCCCCAAUUCUCAGAAGCAUGCUUCACAAAUAUGGAUCAUGCUACGUGACUUACACACCAGGCAAGUCUCUUAAGGUUCCCGUUAAGUAAUUAAUUUCACUUGUAUUUGCUCACUGUGGUAGUAUUGCAAGUGGUUUUGAAAUAAAUGAGCAAUAGAGAUUGAACACUUUGAUGCAUCUCAGAUUUCCCUGAAGUUGUUAUUUACUGUGUCAUCAUCAGCCUAAUGGGUUUCAGAAAAGAUACUUGCCUUUAAAUAAAUAGAUAAAGGAAACAUGGAAGGAAACAACUACGUUUGGCUACUUUUUACAAAACACAGAAGUAUGCAUAAACAUUUGAGGAAUAUAUUAAAUUUUCUUCCAGUGAUUGCACUGGUAAAUCUGAGGGCAAUUAAUGGUAAUAUGCUUAUUUUGCUUUUUAACGUAUGUUUUAUCUAUCUUUAUUGUAUGUAGGCAAAACUGGAGAACUUUAUGCCAGUGGCCAACUCAUACUGCCACUUAAUUGAGGAGAUCCUCUUGAAUAAGAGUCUCUAAUUUACUGCAAUUAUUGCAUGUUAAGCAAAUGUACGUCUGGUUCUGUGUUUGUUAGAGUAUAGGUAGGUUAUAUUCAGUUAAACUGUUGCAUUCCAAAACAGGAAUGCCUGUUCGGAGAAAGGAAGGUCUUAGGUUUUUAUCUCAUCCUAAGGAUGGAUAGCAAAAUCUUUCUAGCUAAGGUCUAAGACAAUGGUGAGGUAUGUAUAUACUGACAUCAUAAGGUGUCAUUUGGAAACCGCCUGUGAAUACUCUUGUCUGUAUUGACGGAAAUGGAGAAAGAAUCAUAAAAUACCACUAUAAGGCUCAUUGGCAUAACAGCAGAGAGUAUCAGUUGUCCAUAUUCUGUUGCUUACUACCUGUCCUGUCUUUCCCUUCUGGUUUUUGGCUAACCUCUUUUCCUUGAAGCUGAGAAAUGAAAUAUGAUAUACAAAAUAAGCUUUAAAGUGAAAAAGUAAUUUUUAAGACAAUUUUCUUUGCUUCCUUAAGCAUUGAAAUCUUAAAUCAUGAAUGGGUUAUGGUAUGCUAACCCAGAAAGGUAGAUUGUAGUGUGGCAGAUCUGUAUUUAGAUCUCAGCUAAGAUGGAAUUUCUGACCACUACUAUACAGAAAUAAAGGGGAAGACUGGUUUAUGUCUUUGCCAGGAGAAUAACUCAAGUGUUUGGGCAUUCAGUUCUGAAGUUGCUGCUCUGUUUUAAUUAAAAAAAAAAAAA
rnacentral:lncRNA from 1 species